rnacentral:lncRNA from 1 species
CCCUCCAAAACUUUUGUACUAUUUUAACAUCUCUGUUAUUUUUUUUUACUUCUUUUUUGGUUAAAAUUGAGACUUUAGGCAUAUAAUAAGAAAACUUUCAGCAGAGUAUCUCAACUUAAAAUAAAUAAAAAUAUAUUAUUGUUCGAUUAUGAAUAUCUCAAAACGAGAAAAACCUCAAUCCAAAAUAUCACAAAACGGUGAAAAAUUCAGUCCAAAAUAUCUCAAAUAAUAUAUUUUGACUAAUUUCUCACCACUCUAAAAUAUCUAAUGAUAUUAGAUCAUUAUUUUAUUUACUUUUUAGAACUACUAAUUUAUUAGAAAAAUGUUGCUCUAGAUCCAUUUCCAUUUUAAUUUUUAUCAUGAAAACUCAAACAUUAAAAUAACUAAAAUAAGAACUUGCUAGAUACUCACAAGAUACUAUGAAAAAUAUUUUGCAUUACAUUUUUGGUCAAUUUUUCAAAAACAAUAUUGAAAUUCAAUAGUUUUAUAAAAGUAAACUUAAAAUAACUGAAAUAAAAACUUGCUAGAUACUCACAAAAUACUACGAAAAUAUUUGGCAUUAUAUUAUUAGUCAAUUUUUUAGAAGUAUCUUGAAAUUUAAUAGUCUUAUAGUAAAAACUAUUUAAAUUAAUAAUAUUGGAAUUACGAAAUUUUAUUAUUUUUUAGAGUUAUUAAUUUACAAAAAAAAUUAUUUUUAUAUUUUAAAAUAUAUUUUUAAUAAAAUAAGAUAAAUAGUUUAUUUUGUCGUGUAUAUGUUAAUUAAAUUAUUAAAAGGGCAAUUCUCUUAAAUAGAUUUUUUUAAGUUUUUGCCACAAAAAUAGACCUCAAAAACUAAAAUGACCAAAAUAGCACUUUUUUAUUUUGAAAAUUUAACUUUUUAUUUAUUUUUAAACCCUAAACCCCACCCCCUUAAUUCUAAACUCUAAUGUCUAGAUUAAUUAACCCUAGGGGUAUAAGUGUAUAUUUACUUCUUUUGAUAAAACAUUUAAGUCUAUUUUGGUCAUUUUUAUUUUUGAGGUCUAUAUUUGUGACAAAAAAAAAUUUAGGUCUAUCCUAGGGAAUUUCUCUUAUUAAAAUUAGACUUUUAUUAUUUUUGUUAUUCUAUUUGGUGUAUACAAAAUAUGUUUCAUAGAAUUUAAAUGUAGUUUUAGAUAUAAUUUGGGUUUUCUACAAAAAAACCCUCAAUGUGGUUUUUUUUUGCAAAUUAAUCCGCGAACUCAAAAACCCACGGGUCAACCCUCCAAGUGCCAGUCAAACCGCAAUAUAACCCUCGGCCAUAUUUAUGUGUAUUUGACUGUGUAUAAUUUUAACAUUUUUUCAAUACUAGGUCAUUUUGGCGCUAAUUUUUUAAUGAAAAAAAUUUGUUGAACCCCACCUUCAUUGUGCAUUUACGCAAGCUCCCAUGUCCGAGAAAAACUAGGUCAUUUCGUUUUAGAAAUCUAUAUAAUUGCGUUUGUUAAGUAAACAAAUAUAUUUGUUGGCCGAGAUGGUUAUAUAGCAUGCACAUGGUAUUUAAGGUUCAAAUUUCAAACCACGAGUUUAACAAAUUUUUUUCAUUAAAAAAUUAGCGCCAAAACGACCUAGUAUUGAAAAAAUGUUAAAAUUAUACACAGUUAAAUACACAUAAAUACGGCAGAGGGUUAUAUUGCGGUUUGACUGGCACUUGGAGGGUUGACCCGUGGGUUUUUGAGUUCGCGGAUUAAUUUGCAAAAAAAAACCACAUUGAGGGUUUUUUUGCAGAAAACCCAUAUAAUUUUACCUAAUAUUAUCAAAAUAUGUUGAUGUGUUAAGAAAAAUAAAGUUCAAUUUCAUUGUGAAUAUAAAAUAAAUAAUACAAUGAUUUGUUUGUACAUAUAUAAACAUUAUAUGUAUGAAUUAUUAAUUUAUGAUUUUAAUGGGAUUAUAUAUAUACAUAGAUUUUCUACAAAAAAACUAUUAUCUUAUUAUUUUAUCGAUUUGUGUCAUAUUUUGAACCGGCCAAAUUCGAGACCGAAGAAAUUUAUUAAUUUACCAUGUUUGUAAUUGAUCGAGUAUUAAUUUAUAGCGUUUCUACCGUAUAACUGAACUUAAAAUAAAAUUAAGAAACCCCAAAAGAAUAUCUUAAAGUGAAAACAAUCAUAAAACUAUAAUGUUUACAAGAGAAGAUGCGUAGUGAAGAUGAGAGAAAGGAAACUACAAUGGUUUUGUUUUAUUUAUUUAUAUACAUCAUUACAAGAGAUGAUCAGCUUGCAGUGGUACUUGUAUACAAAGAACAAAGUGUACAAAGCGAGGCAAAUAAUGGUUCUACAAUCUCACUUAAAUCGUCUUCCAAUGGCUUAGAACCUCCAUCUCCUGUCUGGCUGAAUAAUGUUUCUCUUCCAAUGAUGAACAAGGAGUGUUUAUGACCAUAGAGAAUUGCUGCAAUGUUACCAACAAAUGAGAGUUUUGGGCGCUUACCCACCUUGAAUCAUCUCACUUCUUAACACAUCUUCUCUCCUUAUUCUGUGAGAGCUAAAAGAGUUACUAGCAUUCUACAUCACUCCUCUAAUUCCAAACUUGGGGUAACCAUAGGGAAUGUUGUCAGAUGCGAAUCGCCUCUCAUAUCUUUAGCCAAACCCUCAAUGACAUCGUAUAUCUCAUCACUCUGAGGAUGCUCUUGAUCUCUAGACACAAAACAAUUUACAUUACCUGCAACUUCAAUCCCACUACGACCAACUUCUUUCCUUAAACCCUUUUCUCUCAUUCCUCUCCUCAACCUAUCAACACUCGUCCAUUUCUGUUCCUCAGCAUACAUAUUCGAGAGCAAAACCUGAUAUCCUGAAAAGUUCUUCCCUUUAUCCACUUUAGCUAACUUCUCUGAAACAGUUUCAGCAAGCUCAAUCUCACCAUGUACUCUACAAGCUCCCAGAACCGAACCCCAUAGCUCAGCAAUGUUUCCUUCUUCAUCAAGCCCUUUAACAAACUCGUAGGCUUCAUCAACGCGGCCUACUCUCCCUAACAUGUCUGUAACGCAGCAAUAGUGCUCAUUGGAAGGCUGGAUGUUAUAAACUUCACUCAUUUCCUCGAAUAUUUUGAGACCUUCAUCCACUAAACCGGAAUAGCUGCAAGCUGAUAAUACUGCAACAAAGGUGACAGUAUCUGGUUUGACUCCAGACUCUUCCAUUGAACGAAACAGCGAGAUAGCUCUCUCACCCAUUCCGUGUUGACCAUACCCCAAUAUCAUCGUGGUGUACGUCACAGAGUUUCUCUCUUUCGUUUGGUAAAACAUGUUUUCUGCGUACUGUAUCGCUCCUGACUUUGAGUACAUAUCAACUAACGCAGAAGCAACAAAUACGUUCUGAUCCAAGUACUGCCUUAUAGAGAAACCAUGUAGCUGUUUACCUAAGUCGAAACUACCUAUCUGGCUACACGCAGGGAGAAUCGACGCCACAGUUAUGGCAUUGGGUUUGAUAUUCUGUUCUAACAUCUUCCUGAACACAGCAAACGUUUCCUCUGUGUGUCCGUUCUGCGUGUACCCGGACAUCAUAGAGUUCCAAGUAGCUUGAUCUCUUUCAGCAUAGCCACUUCUCUCGAAAAGCUUCUCUGAGAUCCUUAUUAGACCUGACUUAGCAUACAUGUCAAUAAGGUAACUGUUCAUCCCCUCGAACUGAAUCCCUUGCCUUAUAAGGAAACCAUGAGUCUGCUUCCCAAUCUCCUUGUUUCUAAGAUUCGACGCAGCCGAAAGCAAAGCAGUCACUGUUAUGUAAUCGAUCUUAAACCCCUGCUUCUGCAUCUCAUACACCAACAUCAAUCCUUCAUCAUCUAAGCCGUUUUGGACAGACGCAGAGAUCAUUGUGUUCCACGUCACAACAUCUCUCUCUCGCAUCGAAACAAAGACCGCAAAGGACUCGUGCACAGAGCCGCACCUCGAGUACAUCACCAUCAACGAGUUGAAUAUCACAACGGGAAGCUCCUGAAAGUUCUUGCUGACAAAACCAUGAAACUGUCUACCUAACUCCACUUGCUGCAGCGCUGAAACUGCACUCGCUGCCAAGAGGAACGUUACUUCGUCAGACACAAUCUCUUUCGAUCCUAUUGCAUCAAGAACAAGAUCUAUACUCUCAACCAGGUACUCGUUCUGAACAUAGACUCCUAUCAUUGUAUUCCACACCUCAAUGUUCCUCUCUACACAAGAAUCAAACACUCUCCGUGACGCUUCAAUAUCGCCAAGCUCUGCAUACAUAGAAAUAGCCGAGCUCACAACAAACAAGUCCUUCACAUACUCAUCUCCCAACUUAAGCAUCAAACCAUAAAAUACUUUAGCUCUCUUAACACUUCUCGAACUCGCCACCGCGGGGAAGACAUUCACAAAGCUAACCGGACUCGGUUUAAUCUCCAUCCUCAUCAUAAUCCCAAACUGCCUACACGCCUCUGCGUGUCUCUCCGUCUUCACAUACCAAGAAACCAACGUAUUCCACGCCACAACGUUCUUCCUACGCAUACUAUCAAAAACCUUACGCACCACAUCGUACUCGCUUCCAGGAGGAAGGUGGUUCAAGCAAGAAACGUACAUAUUCAACAGAGAGUUAUGAACAACCCUGCUCGAGUUCUGCAAGCACCGGAUCAAAUGGCAAUGCACGGCUUUACCAGCCUUCAGGUUCUUGGUCUCGGCGCAGGCCUUGAGCGUGGAGGAGUAAGUGUAAGGGUCGCAUUUGGUGAAAGGAGCGGUCUUUUUCAUCCGGGAGUAGAAAAGGAGAGCCUCGUGCGGGAGGUUGUUGCAGAUGAGGCCGAUGAUAAUGGUGUUCCAUAGGACGGUUGUUGGUUUGGGAAUUGCGUCGAACAGCUGGCGUGCGAGCUGUGGGUUUCCUUCUUGGCAGAUUCUGCUGAGGCGGGAGCGGAUUGAAGGUGUUUGGGGAGUUGGGUUUGUUGGUGGGGCGAAGGUGGAAGAGCGNNNNNNNNNNNNNNNNNNNNNNNNNNNNNNNNNNNNNNNNNNNNNNNNNNNNNNNNNNNNUGGUUUGGCGGGGGAGAGUGGAACGAAAGUGGCGGUGGGGGUGGGAGAGGUAGAGCUGAUCCGGCCAUUGUGGAAGAGAUGAUGAAGAACGAAAUGAAGUGACGUUAUUGACUCUCUCUUCCGCUUUAUGUUAUCAUCAUCAUCUUUCUUCAGUGAUAAGAGUUUGUUUAUUUUCUAUUUUUAUAAGAUAGAUUACCAUUUUUCAAAGUACACUAAAUUUGUGAUAAAAAAAAAAUAAUAAACCAACUAAACUAUUUAUUAAUGUUUUAAAAAAUAUUGGGUAAAUAAUCCAUAUUUUCCCACCAAAACUAUCAGGUAAGAAACUAUCAAUCUCGUCUUAAUUAUAUGUAUUUUAAAUUAUUCUACAUGUUAUUUCCCAGUUCAAAGUUUCAAACCAUAAAACCACAUAAUCUUUGUGGUUAAAAAAAAGAAAAAAAAAUCAUAGGCGAUUGAGAGGCAUGUUCUAACGAGGGUCAAGUUGGUUUUUAUUUGGUUAAUUGUUUUUGGUUCAAGUGUUUCGACUUUGGUUUAGGUUGUAAACGAAUUUUGGUUUAGGUUCUAACCAUUAAAUCAGUGAAAAGCCGGGUUUGUGUUUCAGUUUUUUGAAUUGGUGAGUAAUAGGUAAAAUAACUUAAAACUAGGAUAAGACCGCGGGCUAAAUUUAUGUGAAAAUUAUUUAAUAAAUAUCGUAUGAAAAAUAAAAUUUAUAUUAUUGAUCGAAUUAAUAUUUUUGGCUAUUAAAAAAUUUUUUAAAAACUUUUUUGUUAACUACAUAAUUUGUUUACUAAUAAACUGGUCCCAUUUUUAAAAAUAUUUUAGAUCAAAAAUUUAUUUAUCACUUAAAAACCUAAUGUUUAGGCCGAAAAAUCUCAUGUCUACUAUUUGGUUACAAUGAAACUAUGUCAGCUCGUUUUUAUAUCAUGAUUUAGCAAUUUAAAAUUUAAUAAUGGUUAUGAGAAGUUUACGUUCACGUAUCAAGCCUAUCUAUCUUUGAUAUUUUUUUCAUUUUUGUGUCAUUUUGGUUAUUUGCUCGAUAUAAAUAUUUAUUUUUAAGUAUAUUUUUAUUUUUUCUUUUAUUUUGGCAUGAGAUUUAGAAAAUGUUUAAGAUUCAAAAUUAUUAAAGAGAUAGAUACUUAAGUUAAGAUAUGCACCUUGUGCAAAAUAAAUAUUUUAUAUUUUUGUGCAUAUUAUAAAAUAAUAAAAUAAUAAUUAUAUAAUAAAUUGGUUUGCAUAUAUAAAUCAAAUGACCGCUCUUGUAUAUUCGCAAUCAUUUUAGAAUAAAUAAAUCAAAACAUUCAAUCUUAUCUAUCGUAUAUGAUAUAUAAUUAAAUUUAAACGAUAUGAAAUAUAUAUAUAUAUAUAUAUAUAUUAACAUUAACACCUAUUAAAAUAAAAUUAUUUGUUUAUAUGAUUUUAUUAUCAUUAUAUCUUAUUAUAAAAAAAACUAAACAUUGAUCACAAAAGUUUAUGUGAGACUUUUAAUAGUUUAGUAAUUUAUACUCGUUUUGAAAAAUUCAAAAUACAACAUAUACAAAAAAAUCUAAAUUUUUAAUAUAUGAUUAAUGUAAUUGUGUAAUUUAUUUUAAUAAUAAAGAAUUAAAAAAAAAUGAUAGAAAGUAUACAGAUUAUUAGCAAAUUUUCAUUAUUUAAAAUAAUUAAUUACUAUAUAUAUCAUAAUCACAUAAGGUACUUCCGUAAGUUUUAUUUAAGGAAAUAAUAUAUAAUACAUUUCAAUUUGAUAAAUGAAUGGUCCAUAAUGGACAUACUAUAUAAUAUAACAUUUUUUAGCAAUUUAAUUUUGGACUAACAAAAUUCUCAAUUGAUUUUCAAGUCGCCACGUAAACAAAUUAACAUUCCAGUUACGUGACAACCUAGCACGGCAUUUUUUUAAUUAGUAACUACAGGUUAUAAACUUUUUAAAUGUUUUCCUAUUAAUAUAUAGGGGAUGUUAAACCAUUGAUCAUUAAUUUUUACAUAAUAAUUUUAAUAGUUUUAGUAAUUUUGUCGUUUUUAAAAAUUCAAAAUAUAACAUAUACGAAAAAUCUAUAUUUUAAUUUUAUAGCUAAUUUGAUUGUUUAAUUUAUUUUAAUAAUAUAAAAUUAAACAAAAAUAAUGGAUGAGAUAUAAAUUGUUAUCAAAUCUUUAUUAUUAGAAUCAUUAAUUGUCAUAUAUAUAUUAGUCAUAUUUGGUAAUUCCGUAGCUUUUAUUUAAGGAAAGAAAAUAAAAUAGUAAUUGUACACUUUAAUUAAUUUUAUGAUUAGUUAAAUGAAAAGUAUAAUAUAUACUUAAUUGGACCAACAUAUUUUCUAAGGAUUCUGAAUUUCAUUCUGGUGAUGACACGUGACUACACUUAAAGGUUGUAAUGUUUCUCAAUUAAUAUAUAAGGGAUAUGUGAAAUUAAGAUGAAGUUAAAAGUUUGUGUAUAAUUGUUAUUAUAUGAUAUUUUGUGGGGGAAUUAUGUCCUUUACUCAAAAACAUUUAUAUAACUUUAUAAAUUCAACCCCAUUUCCUAAUCUUAAAACCUAAACAAUAAUCAAUAAUCUAAACCCAAAUGUUAAUGUAGUUUUGAUUGAGCAUAUCUUUUUAAAAAUAGCAGCCAAUUUAGAAUAUUUCAAACUAGUUUUCUUAAUAAUAUUCUACUGAUGUAAAUUUAAAGAUUAUCUAUUAUAUAUAUGAUUAAAUAUUGGUUCCAUUUUAUAUAUUAAUUCAAAAUUAAGAAUUAAAUUUAUAGUAUAAUAGAAACUUGGGUUUUAUUGGUUUUAUUAAUAAUACUAAGGUUCAUAAUCAGAGAUAAUGAAGAACAAAAUUCAAGUUCGAGAUUAGAGUGAGAGAUGAAGAAGAAAAUAAAAAUAGAAAUUUGUUAUUCCUCAUAAUGAACAUGUACAUGUAUGUUCAGUACAAUUGUACGGUUAAGCAAAAGAAAACCUAACUAAUAUAAACCGGUUAGUUAACCCUCCCCUCAAGUCUUUAUCUGUGGAGCUUGCAAAAGGUAAAGACUUGACAAGAACAAACGAGAGAAGAAUGAAUGGUAAGGACCUGGGUAAAGAGGUUUGGUGAGAAUGUCUGCAAGCUGGUUUCCAGUGGUGACAUGAAAAGUCUUGAUCUUGUCUGUCUUCAGCUGAUCAUGAACGGUAUGACAAUCGAUCUCUAGGUGCUUCAUACAUUCGUGAAAAAAGGAUUCAUGGCAAUAUGAAGCGCUGACUUAUUAUCACAAUACAACUUAGCAACACGGGUGACAGAGACAUGCAUAUCACGAAGCAAUUGUUGCAGCCAAAUCAACUCACAUGUAGCUAAAGCAAGACUUUGAUAUUCAGCCUCUGUAUUGCUUCUACUAACCACAACCAGUUUCUUGGACUUCCAAGAGAUCAAAGAAGAACCAAAAUAAACACAAAAGCCUGUAAUAGAACGGCGAGUCUCUUUGCAAGUAUCCCAAUUUGCAUCAGCAAAAGCAUUCAAGCAUAACUAUGAAGUAGCUAAGUACAUCAAUCCUUGACCAUGAUUAUUCUUGAGAUAUCGCAAGACCUUAUGAGCAGCCUGCAAAUGUGUAUCAGUAGGGACUGAUGAUUAAUGCAUUUUAUCACAUGUCAAUUAACCUAAUAUGCGCUCUACCACAAUCAAAUGGUAUAACGAUGCAUCACUUUAGGAUUGAAUCCACAAGGAACUAGUGAUCUAUAACACUAAGAAUACACAAGCUUUCAUAAUCUAAGAAAACAAGAAGAUGGAUGAUUGGUAACAAAUUAAGAUCCUGGAAAUAUAAACAAGGUGAUCUCAAAUUCAUUUAAGAAAUAAGUGCAAAAACUAAACUUUCAAUCAAAUGAUAAGGUAGAAUCCAUGGGAUUAAGACAAUUUAUCCAAGGCAAUUAGUUUCCAAGUCAAAGUGAUACGUUUAAGCAAUCAAAAGUCUAUAUAGGUCUAGAUCUCAUUCAGAUAGAUUAAUUCACUGUCGUGACAAUAAUCCAUAUGCAAUCAUGAGCUAAAUAUCAACUCCCGUUGGCCUAAUUCAUUAUGUUCAAGUAUACUAACCAUCUAGCAAUCCUAACAUCAAAUGUCUUUGGUUAUUCAAGCUAAAACAAUACUAAGUUCAUUUAAGCAUUUUAACAAACACCUUCCGGACUUAAAAUUGCAUAAGGUAUAGAUAAGAUUGAUCAAGUCUAAUCUAGCAUUAAAAACAUUUAGCAAGCAUAAAAACUAGUAGAUCUAACAAUAACCACCUUAACUCUUCACUAAUCACCCUAGAUCUACUUAACCCAUGGAUUCAAAAAGUGUCUACUCAAUAAUCUCCAUGAAAAAUCUUAAAUCUAUAUGAGAUUCAAGGUUAAUCAUCUUAGUGAUCAAGAGAAACACAAAUAUAAGAUGAAGUACUUUCUUAAAUGAUCAAAAGGUUCAAGUUUUUACAAAAUGAGGCAAAGUCUUGAGAGAAAACGAGAGAAAAUAGGAUUUUUAAGUCGAAAUCUAUUUAUAGAUGUCUUAAAACGAGCUGGAUCCACAAUAAAUCUGGGUUAACCCAAUAAAAAGUGGUGUUUUCGUCUGUAGAGACAUGGUCAUCCCACUAUAACUAGGUCACUACAGCACUUAGUUGUGUGGGGCUUCUUGGGGAACCAUAGCAACAUGCUCUGAUCGCUACAGUGGUCGCUACAUACACUCGAGUUCCUCCGUAGCGACAUGCUAUGGUCGCUACAGCUAUGGUCGCUACAUGGUUGAUAUGCCUCCAGUAGAUAGAUCAUAACUCCUCAAUACAGCUCCAAAUGAUUUGAAACCACCGGAAUUGGAAAGCUGACUCAAUUGCCUAUGUCGGCCCAAAAUUCGAGCUUCAGAAGAGAUCUUUAAAGCCGUCAUCCAUGUUCAUCUUUUACCCUUUUGACUCAAAACUCCUCAAAUGCCUUCAAACUCACCAAUAAGUAUCUCCAAAACCUGAUAUAGACACAUGCAAUGCAAUGCAAUGAAAUAUAAAUAUGUAUAAAUGAAUCUCUACAUGAUCAUUAUAUACAUUAAAUGAUAGUUUAAAAUCAUGCAAAUUCAUAGGAUAUCAACCCUCCCACAUUUAUCAUUUAGUUGUCCCCAAGUAAACUUUCAAGAACAAAGUGAGAAAGAGUUGUGAAGGUGGAAGCUCAUUACCAAAAGAUAUUUUUCAAAGACAUCAACGUGAUAUACUUACAAAAUCAUACCAAAUAUCAAGAGCAAAACAUCCUAUCAAACUCUAACUUCUCUAGGCCUAUCUCAACUCCUUGAUCUCUUACGCUCAUUCUCAAGACUCCACAAACAAACCAAUCAACCAACCCUCACAUUCAUUAAACAAUAAUCAUAAGUGCACUCUUGCGAAUGGACAAUUGGUCCUAAUCAUUUGGCUUGGUGAAAAAAGGUUUGUAGUUAUAGUGAAGUAAGAGGGUUAUCAAGUGCUUUUCAUGGUGGUUUACUCUCAAGAACAAGUAGCUUGACAUUAUGCAUAAUAUAUCUAAGAAAGAGAACAACUCAUGCAUACAAUGCUCAAAACUCUUGCAUACAAUGCUCAAGAAUCCUCAUUGUUCUACCCAUUUCCUAGACACAAGCAAUUUUUUAAUCUUUGUUUCCCAAUGUCAAACUCCCAUUCACUCACCAAAAUGCUACAAGAACACUCAAGAUCACUCUCACUUUUUGAACUCUUUAUUAAUUUUUUCCCACUAGAGAUUUUUUUUUCACUCGUUCCUUAGCUUAAGCUCUUUUCUUUUUUCUUUACCCCACUCUUAAAAACAAAAAAAUUCUCAGCGGUUUUUAUUUCUUUAGACACUUUUGAGCUAAACUUUCUUUUUCUUUGAUCUCUUUUUUUUUAGACUUUUGAGUUCACUCUUUUCACUCAUCUUUUUUUUUUCAACCCUCAAAGAUCAAACACUCAAUACUCCCUUCCUAUCCUAUGAGCUAGACAUCAUGAGAUCCUAAAGCUAGCAAGUAAUGAGGACCAACCAUUAUCGUUACCAAUACUCUCAACAUUAUGCACAUCUCAAACUUUCAGAAAAGACCUCACUCAUCAAUUUAAUAAUGUCUUGAAAGGAAGGUAGGGUUAAGGGUGUGGAGAACCAUCUAAAGGAGAGAUGGCGACUUGAGUUGCCAAAGAUUGGUGAAAAGGAUAAGACUAACUCAAGUGUGUGUGAGGUAACCAUGAUCAAGCACAAGAAGAGCCCAUAAGCUAGAUAUAUUAGGUUCAUUAACUCAAAUAAGAUUGGAGUUGGUUUCAAGAACAAGCAAGUUUCGUCAAUCAAACAAGUUUCAAGAGGAGUUUUCAAGGCUCGAGGUAUACAAGUUAUCUAGAAGAUGUUCAAGCUACUUAUUAUGACUGAGAAGGAUAACACAUUAACUUCUUUGCAUGAGUUCUUUACAAAGUUUUCUCCCAAUGCAUGAAAGCAAUCUAUAUGUUUCUAGACUUAUCCUGAAGAUUAAAAUGAUGCAACUAAAUGCUUCUUUUUGUUGUUUUCAAUAAUUUUCAAUUCUGUGGGUUUUCUAUGGAAAUAAGUAUGCAAAAUAUAAUGUAUGAGACUCAAGAUGACAAGAAAACAAAAUAGAACACAAGGUGAGAUGGUAGACUCUCCCCCAAACUUACUUCACACAGUCCCUUGUGUGAAAGUAAACUUGAAGGAGAGAUCAAAGAGAAAGAAAAUGAAAGUAUUUACAAAUUUAGGGUGCACUUACUUGGAGUUAUAGGUUUAAUUGGGUGGUAAAGGACCCUUGGCCUCGGAUUUGUUCCACCAGGAGAGACGUGCUGAAGCGGAGAAGUGAAGGCGGAAUGUGUCCAAGCUCUUUACCCAUGUAGUGAAGACUUUCUUGCCAAACCGGAUCACCGGGAUCAUACUCAUCAUAAAACCAAACUAUAAACUCAUUCAUCCUAAUCUAAGGUACCUUCCUUAGAUCAUCAACUUCUUUGGUAGAGAGUAUACCAAAAUGGUAGUCAAAGGGUUUGUCCAUAGGAGAGUCUUCUUCUUGCACCUCUUUGGGAGAUUAUUCAAUGUUGAAUCACUUGAUUUUCUUUAGACUCUUCACCCCUUGAUCCUUUCUUGGAAUUAAGCCUCACAUGCAUUUCGUCCUUGGUUGAUAACUCAUCCAUAACCAAUGAGAUCUAUCUUUUCUCCUCCAUGCAUUUAACAACCACACCAUCAUCACAAAUAUCUUCAAAGACUCUUCCAACCAAGCGUACUUCUUCAUUCUUGCUCCUUGUUGAAUAACCCAUGAAUGCGAUUGGUUCAACUUGCUCUUCAUAUAUUAUCACAAGAUUUUAAUUUACCAUGAAUCCAUAGAGUCUUAAGCUUCUUGUUGAAAUCCAUCCUUGAUUUGAACAUCCUCUUCAAUAUUAAUUUCCAUAUCCAUGGUAUGUUCUUCAUAAGUAUUGGUGUUGUAAAAGGGGGUGUUGCUUUCUUCUUGAUCUUCACUAAUGUGAGAGAGUUGUUGUUGAUUGAUUUCACAUGUCUUAUAACUCCAUCCAACCUUGAGCUUAGAACCUUGCCAUUAACAUCAAUCUUGGUGGAAAGAGAAUCAAGUUGUCUUUCUAUCUAAAUCCUUCCCUUUUUUUGAUUCUCUAACAACUUCACAGGCAUGUUGGUGAUGUUUUCUUCACUUGAAUCUUGAGGAAAUUUAGCUGCUUGUUCUUCAUAGUCUAUAUCCCAAGGUUGAUAUCCCUCACCAUAUCCAUAUUGUCUUCUUUGACCAAAGUCUCCAUGUGGUUGAUACUCCAAUGAGGUGGAUGGUUCAUAAGCUCUUUCACAACAUGUUGAGCUUCUAGAUAUCAUCCUUUCUUGACUCUCCAAAAUAGCCUUUAUCAUUGAUUCUAAGUCAAGAGACAUGAUCUUCCUCUCUUGUGAAUGUACUUUGCAAAAGAACAAUCACUUGAAAGGGAAUUAGUCAUCAAACAAAGCAAAAGAAAACAUAAGAAAAUAAAGCUUAGACGAAUUUGAAAGGGGUUUGAAGGGGGUUUCAGAUGUACAAGAGAUAAAAAAACUCAAACAGCUGAUGUUCAUUCUGAAAACAUGAUCAGGCUUGGACAGUCCCUACGAAUGCUAAAGGCUAAUGUGUCAAAACUCAAGGUUCCAUUGAGAAAAAAAGAGCAAAGAAGUUUCAGCUGCUAUCUCACCUACCAGGUUUGAUAUUCUUGCAAACAUCUGAGCGAUGAAAUAAGCAAGAGGGAGGUGAAAUAAAAGCAGUCUCUGAGGAUGAUAGUUCAGAUGAGGAAGAAUUACCUCCUCAAAAAAUUGUAACCAACAAAAAGAAGCUUAAGUCAAAUCAUAAAGAAAAGAACAAAGGUCAAAAGCAAGCCGCUGCUCCAAAGAAAGCUCAACCUACUUUGCCUCACACUACUACAAAGAAAACCAGAGGAUAUAAUGAUCAUGACGACCCUUUUUGCGUAGGACACUCGCGGUUUCAACAAAAAGUGCAAACAUAAUGCAGUUCGAUCUUGGAUUAGAGGUAAUAAUCAUCUUCUUGGUUGUCUUCUUGUAACUCGUGUUAAAGAAGAUUUUGCUGAUUCUAUCAUUGAAUAUAUGUUUUGUGGAUGGAACUAUGAAACAAUUUAUGAGUACCAUCGGUUAGGAAGAAUAUGGUUACGUUGGUCUCCUUUGGUAUUGUUACAGUUUUGUACAAAAGUCUUCAGCUUAUGACGGUUCUUCUCUCCUUACAUCCAAGUGAAGAGUUCAUGAUUUCGUGCAUAUAUGCUUCUAAUUUUCAGAGGGACAUAACUUAGUUUCGGGAGGAAUUGCGAUCAAUGAAAGGUUUCUUUAGCACUAGCUCUGGUCCUUGGAUUGUAAUGGAUGAUUUCAAAGAGAUUUUGGCUUCAGAAGAUCAUUCUCAUGGAAUGGUUUCAAACAUUAAUCUCUGACUGUGAGCUCAUCGAUAUGGCUUUCAAAGGGCCCAAGUUCACUUGAUGGAAUCAUCAAGAUGAGGUUCCAAUAUGUAAAAUAAUUAAUUGUGUCCUGAUAAACGCUAAUUGGAGGGAUGUGGUUUUAUAAGCCUUAUUUUUACAAACAAGAUGAAGCAUGGAACUUGGUGCACAAAGGAAAAAUUUAUGGCUGAACAAGUUUAUCUUCAUAGUAACAAGAUUUAAGGUCGAUUCCUCAAUCCGAUGAAUUUGAUUAUUGAUGGUUUGUGUGUUCAAGUUUUUUUUAUUUAUAAAUUUGGUGAUAUAAUUCCAGCUGAAUUAUUGCCUCCUUUAUGUGAUAUUCAACACCAAGCUGAUCUUGUUCCUGGUGAGACAAUAGUCAUUCCUUAAUGAGCCUAUAAAACCGUGAAGAAUUACCGAUGUCAAUUGCCUCUGAUUGUGAUAAUCGGUCAAUUUGGAAACUACUUGGUACAAAUUUGGUUGUGAAUAUUUGCGUAAAAUUCUCCAUCCGUUGGACAAACAUAAGUGAUGAAUCAAUCAUUAGGAAAUUCUUUAUGCGGUUUGGUCAAUAGAACCUGAAGACUGUGGACUUCCAAUUGUGCAUUGUGAAUUACACAUAACCAUGCCUUCAACAGAAGUCUUGAAUUUUCACCUUUUUCAGGUUGUGUAUGGGGUUCAUUUAAGAUGUUCCCCUGAUAUUCGUGUUCAUGUUCAAGCAGAAGAUUUUGUGUUCAGCAUGCCAGUCAUACAUCAAACUUCACAAAAAUAAAUGAUAACAGUCGUCUAUAUUUUUUCUCUGUAAUAGAGUAACUCUAUUAUGGAAGCAGAUAAUUAGAUCAAAUUCAUCUCUAUAAUAUAGUUAUUCUACUUUAAAGUAAAAAAAAAAUAUAUAUAUAUAUAUUAAAAAAAUAAUGCAAAAACAUAUAGGGAAAAACAUAUAGAGAAUGUUCCAAGUAAGAGUUUAGCUGAGUUGAUGUAAAAAAAAGAGACUAUGAAUGUUUAAACACAGCCACAUAUUGUAUGUAUAUUAUUUAUAACCUCUACAGAUUGUGAACCUCGUAUAUAUCUUAGGAAAACAAUCAACUUCUUCAUUUUGACGUGAAAGUAUAGCAGUUAAUAAAAUUCGAAGUACUAUUCAUUUAUACGAGAGUUAAAACCUCAAUAGUCAAUAAGAUAUCAUUCAUAACAUCCAAAACUAAAACCACCACUAGUAACAUUCUAUCUUAACGAAAUAGUCUUAAAUCGCUAAGUGACAUAUCAUAAAUUCAUAAUUCUUUUGUUUCAGUUAAACACCAAUACCGCUAGUUAAUAUUUUAGGAGUGUAAAGAAAAUAUCAAAACGAUGAUUCAUUGUUUUUGCUAUUUUCUGCUGGUGAUUGGCCGAUGUUAGGAAAAUGUCAAAACGAUAAUCGUUUUCCGAUUUUAUUCUCUUUUCUGCUUUCGACGGACUAACGUGUAGAAAAUAUCAAAAUCGAUAUCGUUUUUAUUGACCUUGGUCUUUUCUACUGGUGGACCAAGAACAUGUCUUCACGAGUAGUACUCAAGUACUCAGACGACCACAAAUUUUCUGUUAUAUUUGGUUUUUGAAUUAUGUUUAGGCUAUGGGAGGAAAUUCGCAAUGAAACAAAUGUAGAGUAACAUGCAUGCAUGAGGUCCAUUUUUUGGCUCAAAAAUAAGAUCAGUUUAUAACCAUAGCAUUAUCCAUUUCUAAGUGUGAUGACUUCUUGGGUGCACUAUUCGUAGAUAUGCUUUAAAUCUUAUAACUUGAAUAUUCGAUACAGUAAAUAAUCAAAAGAUUAGUUUAGUCAAUUUUUAUUAGAUUCACAUUUGCAAAUUUAUUAACUUUAAAAUUUUUGAAUAAGAAUAUUAUACACAUAUACAUAUAUGAUUGAUGAGACAUACACAUUGCAGAAAACAAGGUGGUAAUAUUCACAAUUUCUGGCAUGCAUUUAUUUCACCCCAUACUAUAUUGUUUCUAUCCGGAAUCUGGAGUAACAACUAUCAGUCAAAUUAAAUUAAUUCAGUGAUAUCCAUUUAUGUAGCUUCAAGUUCUAAAAAUUAAAAUCAAUUAAACUGAUUUUAACAAUGACUUGUUCAACUGUUCAUACAUAAAAUGGAAAAAUUCGGUAAAAUUAAUAUCUUGUCGAUAAUUUUUUUUGGGUAAAUGUUAAGUAUUAUACUUUAUUUCAAUUUUUUUUUCUUUGAAUAAUAUGUAAAAUUUAUUCAGAAAAAAUAAUGUUUACAAUGUAGACUACUUGAUUAUGAGAAAAACAUAAAAGCACUAUUUCAGCCUAUCUAGUAGAGAAUCAGAGAUGUAAGACCCCUUCAUGACGUCUAAUUAUCUUGGAUAUCAGAAUGAGACACUGUUUUUGAAUCUGCCUAUCGAUCAUCUUUAUCAGCUGACUUGCUAGUAGCGGCUGAGACCCAUGACGAUGACCAUUCCUCUCACGCAUAGAGAGUGCAGAGUCACUUGAAAGCUGUAUCGCAAGAGGUACAUCGUUAGGUGCGGAAGAGUAUUGUCUGCCAAGAUUACUCGGAUAUCCUGCCAUUUGUUCGUGAAACGGGAUAGAAGAAGACCCUGGACCAGAGCCGACCAGACUUCUUGAGAGUAGCUACAUUCAAAAAAGAGAUGAUCUCUUGUUUCCAGGUGUUGUUGACAUAGAACACAACUCACAUCAAUACCCACAUUCUAGGAUAUCAUUCUGUCGCCAGUUGUUAACAUGUUGUGCAUUGCUAGCCACACCGUGAACGAGUACUUCGGCAUCGAGUGAGAGAACCAGACGAUCGAGUGCCAGGUUACAGUGGGAGCAAAACGUCUAAGAAGAGACCAUGUGCUUCUCAUGUUGAAUUUUGGUUUGAAGCUGUCCGAAGUAGACUUCCAUACCGAAAUAUCUUCUCCUACACCUAUAUUUUCUCGCUUUUUAUGUAACUCAUCCUCAAUCAUAGGAUACAAAUCAUAGCGGUGCCGUCGUGGCCGUCAAGAGAUAACAGACGCAACACUUGCAUUUAACCGAAUUCCCAUAUCAAUACAUCCCCUAACGCCCGUAAGAUCGAUUAAACGACCCAUAUCUGACCAUGCAUUAUUCCAGAAUGAGGUGCCUUGGCCAUCUUUCAAUUCCAUUCGAUGAAAAUCUUUAGCAUUGUCUCUAUAUUUUAGAAGUUCCUUCCAUACCCACAACCCAUUGUUGUUGUACUCUUGACCGUCCAAAAUGUCCCUCCUUUAAGCAAAUAUGUUUUCACCCAUUGAGCCCAUAGAGAAUGGGAGGAAGUGAUCCUCCAUAUUAGCUUAAGGAAACAAGUGAUAUUAGCUUCCUUUAACGGCCUAAGUCCAAGCCCCCCCCNNNNNNNNNNNNNNNNNNNNNNNNNNNNNNNNNNNNNNNNNNNNNNNNNNNNNNNNNNNNNNCCCCCCCCCUUAUGAUUUCAACAUGGUAACUGUAUCCCAUGCCACCUUCGCUCGCUUCACAUUGAGUGUUGGACCAGACCAGAGGAAUGCACAACACAAGCUAUCAAUCUCUUUCAGACAUUCUCCAGGGAGACAGAAAGAGGACAUGCAUAAGUUGGCAAUACUCAUAAGCAUGGACUUAAUAAGCUGCAGUCGUCCAGCCCUAGAUAAGAAUCUGUACGUCCAUAGACUAAUUCUUUUCUUCAUUUUCUCAAUGAGUGGUUGGUAAUCAUUCUUCCCCAUUCGCUUUGUUAAGAGUGGCAGUCCUAGAUAUCGAACCGGUAAGACACCCACAUCCAUGCUAAAACGUUCCUGAAGUUCUUGCUUUGUGUUAUCAUCACUUCCCCCACAAAAGAUCGUUGAUUUUUUCACACUCAUCAUUUAGCCUGAGAUAGUUUCGAACUUCUUGAAAACCUCCAGGAUACUCUCAAUGGAAUGAGAAUUACCAUCUGAGAACAAUAGAAUAUCAUCUGCAAAGCUCAAGUGUGUAAGAUUCAGGUUCUUACACUUUGUGUGAUAGCCCAUCAUGUGCUCUGCUGCUGAUUUAUCCAACAUCUUCGAUAAAACAUUCAUACUGAUGACAAACAGAUAUGAUGAGAGUGCGCAACCCUGACGAAGCCCUCUUUCACUCUUGAAGAACCCAGCCAGCUCUCCAUUCACUUGGACCGAGAAAGAAGCCGUAGUGACACAAAAAGAUAUCCAAUGUAGGAAUUUCUCCGGGAAUCCCAGCGCUGUCAAGGUGUUGAAUAGAAAGGACCACUGAACCGAAUCAAAUGCUUUUGAAAUAUCCCUUUAUUGCACAUCGACGAGAGGCUGAGUCUUUGUGAUAAUCCUCAACCAGUUCCGUUGCUAGGAGCAGAUUUUCUAUCAGUAGCCGAUCUUUUACAAAAGCGGAUUUAUUCAGACUAAUAAAUUCUGGGAAGAGCUUCUUUAACCGGUUUGCGAUAAUCUUUGAGAUCACUUUGUAGAUAACAUUACAGCAAGAGAUGGGACAGUAGUCUUUCAUCUUCUUUGCUCAUGUGACCUUCGGUAUGAGAGCCGUAAUGGUUGUAGUAACCCCUUUUGGUAGAAAACCCUUCUCAAAAAAACUUUUAACCGCAGUAACAAACUCAGAACCAAUGAUUGGCCACGCUAAUUAGUAGAACUCUACAGUGUAACCAUCAGGACAAGGAGACUUGUCGCUCAGCAUAGCAAAUAAAACUUUUGUUACCUCCUCAGCCGUGACCCCUUUGACUAGAUUCUCUUUGUCCAACGGUAAGGUAAGAGGGACUGAAGCACGUCUACAUCAAUACCUGAAUAGUUUGAUGGCUGAAACUGAAGAAAUUCUCGAAAGUGCCUCUCAGCUUCGAUUUUUAUUUGUUCAGGAGUCCUCACCACCUCUCCAUCUAAGCACUCUAUCUCCUUGAUCAAGUUCACUAUUUCUCUUUCUGUUUCUCCUCGAUGGAAAGCCGUAUUGUUCUUAUCACCCACAUCCAACCAAUGCAUCUUUGAUUUUUGUUUGAGAAAUUUCUCUUCAAGUCGAUAAACAAAGUCCCAACGCUUAUAUACUUCACUUUCAGACUGAAUGUUUGUUGUGUUGGAUUUCUCAUUGUUUCAUCCUGCUGUGUGCAUAACUCUUCAAAAUAAGCCUUUAACUUAACUGAGAGGUUCCCCAACCUUGUCUUUUCCAACUCCCGUAUUAUAGGCUUCAAGUUCUUUAGCUUCUUUGAGAAUAUUAAUAGAGACGAAGUCGAUGAAAAUAUUGGUUCAGUAUUUUCCCAAUACUUUCCAACACUAAGUAGAAGAUCUUCCAACUCUGUGAUCGCAUUAACAAAUUUGAAUGGUCGUCUCAGGCGCAAAAGUUCCGAGUGAAGCUGAAUGCGCCAGCGUAGAUGAUCCGAACAUCCACCAGUCUCAAACAUAGCAUAUGAUUGCGGAUAGGCAGCGAGCCAGUGGUCAUUAAACAUGACACGAUCAAUCUUCUUCAAGAUAAGACCCUCCGUUAGUUUAUUACACCAUGUAUAGUGUGGCCCAUGCAAUCCUAAGUCCGUCAGGGAACAAUAUCUCACAACAUCACCAAACUUCCUCAUUCCUUGAGUCACCAUAGGAGAGACUUCAUGCCACAAAUGAUCCUCCAUAUUAAGAGUUUCAUUGAAAUCUCCUGCAAUUAGCCAAGGCAUAUUGUGAAUGAUCAGGGAAUCUUGAUGAAGCUUUAAGUCCUUCCAUAACUCCCUCCUCUCUUCCAUAGUGUUCAAAGCAUAAACAUAAAAUAAAAGAAUUCCUCUCCACUUUCAAUCCAAAUUGAGACUGUGAACACUUACCUACUUUUAAAGAAAGGCGUUACUCUGAUGUCUGGUCUCCACACCAACCAUAUUCUUCCUAAUGCAUUAAACUCAUAAUUUGAGAUCAUACUCCAACCCCAAAAGGCUGUCGAAAGUAUUUCCUCACUCCUACCCUCCUUAACUCUUGUUUCCAGCAACCCUCCAAACAUGAAAUUCUUGUCCCUUCCCCAAUUCUGUACAACCAUGUGCUUCUUUUUUUAUUUAUUAAAACCUCGAAUAUUCCAGAAGAAACCCGACAUAAUUAACACUUAUUGGUAUUACGUUUUUUACCCAUAGUACUUGCCAAGCUGCGCGUACUUUGAAUCUUCGUGUCUCCACCAUUCUUAGCAUGAAAUUUUGCAUUGCGAGUAGAUGUUCUCCGAGUGUUAACUUCAUCAACAAUCUCUUGCUUUUGCUGUUCAUUACAACUUGUGAGUAUCAGAUUCCACAGGCACUUGUUUCUCCAAAAUCUCACCUUCCUCAUUCAUAAUGUUCUCUCUCAUCUCAAUCCUCUCCCAAGAUGGCAAAACGAGAAGGAGAACUUAUGAUGUUUGAAUCUGCAUUUAUUUUUGAGAUUGACCUCAUUUGUUUUCCUGGAGACACAUUCAACCAGUCAUCCUUUGUUUCUUUAUGUUCUUCAGUCUGUUGAUGUGCACCAGCAACAAUUCUCUCCUCGUGAGCUUGGUUCUGAUCUACCACAAUAUUUCCAUCUUCCAAUCUCUCUUCUCCAUCGCUAACCAUUCUCUCCUUUUCCACUCCAUGAGUUAUCUCUGGCUCAACUGCUAGUGGUGCAGAGCUAGAUGCAUCACUUUCCUGAUCAAUUUGUUUCGAAGAGGACUCACUGCCUUCUACCUCCUUGGAAGGACCCUCUUACAUCUCUUUCCUCUGUAAUAUACAUAUGCUUUUUCCUUUUCCACUACAUUUUGCUCCUACAUGCCCCCAUUUAGAACAUAAACAGCACUUGGAUGGUACCAAGGAUACACGAACUGGACAUCAGCCACCACUCCUAGUUUUGAUUUAAAGUGAUGAGACUUCGGCAGUUCUUUAGUCAUAUUUGCUUCUAUAAAGACCUUUGCCUCCUCCAAAACUCUUGCUAAGUAGAGUGUCCGGGUGUAGCCUCUUAGGCUUUCCAACUGCACUGGCGAUGAACCCCAAGCCCUUCCAUGAAAACAUCCUUCUCGGCAUUUUCUUUAACGUUACCAAAUCAGUAUUGUAGUGAUCUCGACUUACUCCUCUUCCUCCUCCUCUGGAGACCAUUUUAACACUACCAUCGGGAUAUUAGCAAUGUUCCACAUUCCAUGACGUAAGAUCCGUGCUCGCGUGUUAGCGUCUUUGAUUCUGAACUUGACUAUAGUCUUGUCCACUUCAAAAACCUCGAUUCGUAUAGCUUGGCUUCCCAGAGGCCAGAUUUUAUUCACUAUAGCGUGAAUUUUUGCAACAUGAGGAGCAGUGCCCAUGAACUUUUCUUCGAUUAGAUCAUCCCAUAGAGGCACUGUGUUCUGGAUUAUACCAUCCGAAACUCCACAAAAUCCUUUCCCUCCUCUGAAACAUAAGCCAACACAUGUAUCGCCAAAACUGGUCCCGACUGAGCCACCCCUACCCACGAAGACGUCUUCCCUUCCUUAACUGUGUUAUUUUCCCUUGCUGUGUCCCCCAAAGGCGAAAACUCGGUUAGAUCCGUCAUCGGCCCGAACAGAGAUUACGUGUGUUAGAACCCAAAACCCUAGUCGCACUUCAAAUCAGACUUGCCACGUCAGCCCACUUUCUUUGGCUUGUUUUUUCCUUUCAGCUUUCAAAUUUUGACAGAACUCAGAUAAAAUAAUUAGACUAAACAACCCACCUAAUCAGCAACAAAGAACCAAGAAAUGAAAGAAAUGAAUCAAGACAUAGAACCGAAAGCCAAAAGAACACUGACACCUGAAAAGCAUAAAUGAAAUGAACAUAUGAUCGCCACAAGCUACCGAAAUAAUGGCACCCUAAAAUUCUAAAGCGAUGACUCCCGCAAUCAGUGCCAUCUUAAAUAUAAAUUACAGUCUAUUUCUUGCCUCUUUCUUAUAUUUUUCGUUUUUGGUUUGAAAUUCAGAUUUACUGUUUUUUUUUAAAUAAUAUGCCCUUUUACAUGUGGGUUCUCUCGAAGAGUGCAAUGCUGGCGCUUGUACUUACGCCGGCAUUGGUUACAUGGGUCAUCAUUUUAUAGUCUGAGGGUGAAUUGUUUCGGUAGCUUGUAAGUCGUAAUGAUCAAAUGUUCAUUUUAUUUAUGUUUUCUUUAGGUGCGUCAUUGCUCUGCUCAUUUGUUUCUCAUGUCUCGGUUCUUUGUCGUUGUUUAGGUUUCUUUGUUAGUUUGAAUUCUAUAUUUCCGCUAGUGUUCUAUCUAAUUCAGUCCAAAUUUGAAAUAUGGUAUCACAUUAAAAAAGUUAUAACUUGUAUUAAUUAAAAAAAUUUCAUGCUGAAUUCUCACGUAAUUAAAAUGCUAAUUUUGCUUAUGUAGCAGCUUGAGAAUCAAUUAAGAAUUUUGUUAGUCCAUAAUUAAAUUGCUAAGAAAUGUUAUAUUAUAUAGUAUGUUCAUUAUGGACCAUUCAUUUAUCAAAUUGAAUUCUUUCCUUAAUUAAAACCUACAAAAGUACCUAAUGUAAUUAAGAUAUAUAUGACAAUUAAUUAUUCUAAAUAAUAAAAAUUUGCUAACAAUCUGUAUAUUUUUUAUCAUUUUUGUUUAAUUAUUUAUUAUUAAAAUAAAUUACAUAAUUACUAAUAAAAAUUACGAUUUUUUUUUUUUGUAUAUGUUGUAUUUUGAAUUUUUCAAAACGAGUAUAAAUUACUAAAAUUGUUAAAAGUCUCACAUAAACUUUUGUGAUCAAGGUUUGAUUUUUUUUCUAUAAUAAGGUACAAUGAUUAUAAAAUCAUAUGAAUAAAUAAUUUUAUUUUAAUAUAUAUACAUAUUUCAUAUCUUUUAAAUUAAACUAUAUACAUCAUAUGCAAAUACAUACUUAUAUUUUGAUAUCUACGUUGAACAUAUAUUGAAAAGUUAAUAUUUUAAUUUUGAAAUCUUCAUUUUUUUUUAAAUAAUUAUAAAUUAUUGUAACCACUAAAAAUUCCACAUUAAAAACAAAAAUCGUUGGUGUAAAGUUUUGUUACACAAAUAUGCAAAUAAUCAUAAAAUCAUAUGAGUAGAAACCUCAUUUAAUAAAUAUCCAUAUUAAAAGUAUACUAUAUAUCUAUGUUAAUAUCAUUUAAAUUUAAUUAUAUAUAUAUAUAUAUAUCAUAUACGAUAAAUAAAAUUGAUUAGUUUGAUUUAUUUACCCUAAAAUGAUUGCGAAUAAACAAGAGCGAUUGUUUGAUUUAUAUGUGCACGCCAAUUUAUUACAUAAUAGUAACUGAUUUCUUAGUUAUUUAAUAUAUAAUUAUUAUUUUAUUAUUUCAUAAUAUGCAAAAAACAUAAAAUAAGUAAUAAAUAUAAAAUAUUUAUUCUGCUCAAUACGCGGAUCAACCUAAGUACAUAUCUCUUUAAUAAUUUUAAAUCUUAAACAUUUUCUAGCCAAAACAAAAUUACGAAAUGAGAAUAAACUCAAAAAUCAAUAUUUAUAUCGAGCAAUAAACAAAAUGAAAAAAACGACACAAAAAUGAGAAAAAUAUUGAAGAUAUUUAGGAUUGGCAUGUGAACGUAAACUUCCCAUAACCAUAAUUAACAUUUAAAUUGCUAAAUCAUUAUAUAAAACCAAGCUUUCAUAUUUUCAUUGUAACCAAAUUGUAGGCAUGAGAUUCUCCGGCCUAAACGUUAGGUUCUUAUGCGAUAAAUGAUUUUUUGACCUAAAAUAUUUUUAAAAUAGAAUCAGCUCAUCAGUAAACAAAUUAUGUAAUUAACAAAAAAAAAUUAAAAAUUAUUUAAGGGCCAAUAAUAUUUAUUCGAUCAAGAAUAUACAUUUUAUUUUCCCAUACAAUAUUUCUUAAACAAUUUUCAUAUAAAUUUGUCAUACGUAAGGCGCAUGUCUUAUCCUAGUAUACUUAAUAUAUUACCAAAAAAAUGUAUCCACAAAAUAUUAAUUUUACAGAAUUUUCCCAUUUUAUGUCUGAUCUGUUUCAGUUUGAUUUUCCUUUAAAAUUUUAAGGCUACAAAAAUGGAUAUCACUGAUGAUUAUUUAGGAGACUAGAUUCCAUGUUCUGUGCCGUGCUGCCGUGCUGGAAAUGCUUUUAGUACUAUAACCCAUGUUCAAAAAUGCGGCCUAGUUAGCCGACUUCGCACCGGUUAAACACAACUCGGUAGUGCUCCGCUGCGAUUUUGUGUUAUUCGGGUAAAAAUUCGGAUUUCAAAAAAAGUAUACAUAUUUUGACAUUUUCCGGUUCGAAAUCUGUCCUUUAAGCAUAUAUCUAUCAUCUAUAUUAUUAAAACUGAAGUACCUUUUGGUACUGUUUGGAAACUUAGAUAGUAGAUCAAAUGAAAGUUGUUUGAAAAAAAAGAUAGCAUAUUAAAUAUUUUUUUUUUAUAUAUUUAGUCACUGUAUUUCUUUCUCAUUUACAGAUUCUGUCGUUUGGAAACUUGGAUAAAAGAUUAAAUGAGAAUUGUUUGGAAACACGAAUAGCAAAUUAAAUAUUUUUUCUUAUUUACACAUGUAGCUAUUGCAUUUCUUUCUUAUUUACAAAUCUGUCACCUCACUUAAAAUCAAAAUUUUAAAAUUAAUUAAUUACAAUGAAUUCUUUUUUUUUUUGCUGAAAAUAAAAAACACAAACUGUAAUAUAUAGUAUAUAUUAAUCUGAUACAAUACAAUUUUCAAGAAAACCAAAUAUCAUAAAAUUAAUAAUAAUUUAUAAAACCUACUGUAAAAAAUUAAAUCAAUUUAAAUAAAUAAACAAAAAAAUAAAUAGGUUAAUAUAUGAAUAUUACAAUUACAUCAAAUUGCAUCAAGUUAUAAAAUUAUAAAUAUAAUAUUGUGUACAAAUAAAAAUUAUCAAACAUCUAUAUUAUAAUAUAUUAUAUUAUACUCUAAAUAUAUUUUACAAAACAUAAAAAUAUAAAUGGACAUUUUAUAAAAUCAAUGGUUUAUAAAUUUACAUUGAAUGCAAAUUAAAUCCAAAACCUGCGCGGAACCGCAUGUCAAGAUCUAGUAUUUCAUUGUUACCGAUCAAGAAUCGAAGAUAAUCGUCAAAGAAAAAAAUUAUUUAUGUUAAAAAUAAAUAAAAAAAACGGUUGUCGUUGGAGAAGAAACAAGUCGAGAGGAAGAUGAUGUAACUAAAAUUACAAAUGUGUCCUUUAUUAAUGAAAUGUUAAAAAAGCAAAAAAUUGACAUUUUUUUUUAAUCGAACCCGGGAGAAGAGAACUAGUUAUUAUAAGAACUUGCAUGCAUGAAAUUCUACGCGUACAGUUUUACUCGUUGACUUUAGAUAUUAUAGACUAAGAGCAUUGAUUAAUUAGAGGUUUUUACGAUGAAGUUCUUAGCAGAAUUUAAGAAACUGUUUCUUAACUUUUUAGUAAAAAAAGUUAAGAAUCGAUUUUUAAAUAAAGACUUUAAGAACCAGUACUUAGUUUUUUAGUUAAAAAUUAAAAAACAGAUUCUCAAUUUGUGUUAAUAACCUCACUCUAAAAACCCUCGGUAAAUCAUGGUGUAAACAUCGUAUAGCGGUACGAUGCAAGUUUAGACGAUGCAAGUCCUUACGGUACAUUGUAAAACUAUACCGACAUUGUCAAUGUUUAGUCUACGCGUACAGUUAUAACUCACUAGUUAUUUAUAUUAUUAUUAUUAAUUUAUUAUUAUGGCGGAGUCACAUGCAUGCAUGAGAUUCAUUCAUUCAUAAUGUCACACUCACACACUAUCCAUUCCCCUUUGUUUUGGUUAUAAAGAAAAUAAAAUUCUUAAAGUGACAAACUUCACGGGUUACACUGUGUUACUACCCGCCAAAUUCUACCCGCCACCUUUUAAAUUUCAUUUUAGUUUCUUCACCGUCAAUAAAUCGUCAGGACAAAAUAAUUACUUUUAAAUUUCAUUGUUUUAUCUUACCAAGUGUGGUCAGUAUCUCUAAUAAUUUUGAAGAAUAUUUAGAAAACUAAUUAGAUAAUAAUUUUCGACGAUGUUAAUAUAUAUGUCGAAGUAAAUAAGGUAAAAAAAAUGGUUCAUUUAUGGUUUUAUAUGGCAUUAAAAUUUUGAAUAUUGACUAUCAGAUUCAGUAUAUCAUUUGGAAUAAAAACAAAAGUAACCUAAAACUUAUAGAUUGAUCUUCUUUUCAGAAUGCAUAUGCAUUUACAGAUUUAGUAUCCUUUGAAUUAUUAAUUAUCAAAAAAAAAUUGUAUCCUUUGAAUUAUCGAUUAUACUAGCCAGAAUUACAUGUUGACCUAUUUACAUUAUAUUUGAAAUCCCAUAGUGAAUACGCGCACCAUGACUAGUAUUACUAUUAUUGUAUUAUAUUAUAUUUACAUUAAUAUGUAAUAUGAAAAAACUAUAAAGAGAAUCAUCAGUCACGGACAUCAUGACUCAAUCACUCUAAGCUAGAUACGUAAUAUCUUUCAGAAGCGUGGGACUAAAAUAUUACAAGAAAUAGCUUCGAACAAUUCAAUGAAGUUAGCAUGGUGAAAAAUAAUCUUGAACCCAACAGACUACUUUUGGUCGGGACCCCAAUAAGUUGGAACUUUGUUCAAGAUUUAUCAACCUAUGUAUAUGAAUAGUUGAAUAGUGUAUAUCCCCAAGAACUGAUUCUCUUUUUCCUAUUUGUAUAGGCAAAGACAUAAACUAGCACCCGAGAGAACUUGCCUAUGAUCCUCUCUCAAAAAAAAAAGUGGACCUAACAAGGAAGGAACAAGACAAAAAGAGUGAGAACGAUGUUUUUUUAUCAUAUCUUGUAACUAUAUAGAGAAUUGGAGGUGUCUCGCAAGUCAAGUAGUAAUCACAAAACCCCUUCAUAAAUUGUCUACCCACUGGGCACUACACUACAACAACCUUUGGUUGCUCCCAUUGUUUUCACCUAUAAAUUACAAAUAUGACUAUGCCUAAGGUUCUUAAAAAACUUUUUAAUGCCAAUAAUAUAACGAAGGUUUAAGUUAGUGGCUUCUAAAACGCUUAGACUAUGCAUUCUCUAAUAUUGAUUAUAGACUAAACAUUGACAAUGUCGGUACAGUUUUACGCGUUGGCUUUAGAUAUUAUAAGGACUUGAUCUGAGGUUUAGUUAAAAUAAGGUGCAAGACAUAAGACAUGAUUCUUAAAAGGUACUAGCUUAAGAUCCGUGCAAUUGCGCGGAGUGAAUGUUAUAUAUAAAACUAAUUUUAAUCUAUUAUUAUUUAUAUUUAUUUACGUAUUAUGUAUAUAAUUUAAUUAGAGUAAAUACAUAAAUCAAAACAAUACAUCUUGUUUAUUUAUGAUAUUUUUUUGGUAAAUAAAUCAAAACAAUCAUUUUAUUUAUUUUAUAUGGUAUAUAACUAAAUUUCAAUAACAUGGACAUAGAUAUAUAAUAUAUUUUAAUAUAAAUAUUUAUUAUUGAGAAUUCAUACUCAUAUGAUAAACACAAAAUUUCUAAUAUGCAAUUUUUAAUGCAAAUUUCAAAAUUAAAAUAUUAAGGUCCAAUACUUUUUCAGUACAAAUUUAGAAAUUAUCAUAUUUAAGUAUUACUCCAUGUUAUAUAGUUUAAUUUUAAACUAUAUUAUUAUAUAACAUGAAUGUCUAGUAAAUGUGACUUCAUAUUCAUACGAUUUAUAAUCAUUUGUAUCUUGUUAUUACCAAAAAAAGUUAAACCAUUGAUCACAAAAUUUCAGUGUGAGACAUUUAACAUUUUAAUAAUUUAUAAUCGUUUUAAAAAUUCAAAAUAUAACAUAUAAUUUUUUUAUUUUUUAUUAUAUGGUUAAUGUUGUUGUUUAAUAUCUUUUAAUAAUAUAAAAUUAAACAAAAAAAAAGCUAAGAUACAAAAUUUAUCAUCAAAAAUUUAUUAUUCAUAAUCAUUAAUUAUCAUAUAUACGUUAAUCAUAUUAGGCAAUUCUGUAAUUUUUAUUUAAGGAAAGUGCGAGAAUAUUAUUUUGUACAUUAUUUAUAAAUUUAAUAGUUAGUUUAAUAAAAAGUAUAAUAUAAGUUAAGAUAGAUCAACCUAUUUUUCCAAGAAUUCUAAAAUUCAUUUUUAUGUUGACACAUGAAUACAAAAUAUUAUCGUAAUGUUUCUGAUUAAUAUAUAAGAGAUUAUUGGCAUGCUUCACGAAGCUAAUAUUUGACCAAAUAUGCAAAUAUAAACUAUGGAAAUUUCUUAGGAACCUACUAGUAAUGAAAAUCAUUGGAGAUCGUACUAUCGUUAUUCGUUACUGAUUCUUUAGCAAAAAUAAACAUAUAAGAAAUGAUUAUGCGAGUUUAUGUUGCUGAGUGCUACAGUGAUAGUUUUGUUUUUCUAAUUAAGCAUUUUCAUGUUUUUGUUUUUCUAAACAUUUUCAUGUUGUUUGUUUUUCUAUACAUUUCCAUGUUACGGUAUAUAUAGGCUGAGCAUGUCCAAGCUAUUCAAAAUUAACCGAAUCGUGGAACAGAUCCAGUAACUAGCUAAUUCAUAGUUCUAUUAAAAUUGAGGUUAACAAAGGUAUAUUCAACCAGCGUAGCUGGCCCAGAUGGUCUUGUGGGGAAAUAAAAAACCCUAAUACGGAACACGCGGGUUCGAUGCGCUGGCCAGACAAUUGGGGUAUCUAAUUCCCUAUAGUACCAAAUGGUCCGCCUCGCGCCGAGGGGUUGGCCCCUGGAGAUGGAAGUCCCUCCAGGUUAAACAAAAAAAAAAAAAAAAAAAAAAAAAAGGAAAAAAAAAAAAAAAAAAAAAAAAAAAAAAAAAAAAAAAAAAAAAAAAAAAAAAAAAAAAAAAAAAAAAAAAAAAAAAAAAAAAAAAAAAAAAAAAAAAAAAAAAAAAAAAAAAAAAAAAAAAAAAAAAAAAAAAAAAAAAAAAAAAAAAAAAAAAAAAAAAAAAAAAAAAAAAAAAAAAAGGUAUAUUCGUAUAUAAAAGAAAAAAAAAACAAAUAAAUGAAUAGUAACAAAACUAGAGAGAGAACAGAAAGGAAUAUAGAUUUUGCCGAAACUUUUCUAAGGGCAGUGUCUGAGUAUUUUUUUGGUAAUCAUGUUAAAUCAGUGUCUGAGUUCUUCAAACCUUCUCAGACUUGUCGUUUGUAAUUAAUCAUUAUCUGGCCGAUUAAAAAUGAUUAAUGUAUUUGAUUUCGUGUUUUCCGAAUGCUUUCACACUAACCAAUUACAUUUUCACAAAAUUUACAAAUAGGUUCGUAGAGCAUGCAGCCAUGUGAUGAGCACAAAAGUGAAAAAUUCUUUAGCAGUUUACUUAUAUCAACGUAAAUAGCGAAUGUUAUUCCUAAAUUUCCCUGAAAAGAUAAGAAUCUACGACUACAAAGAUACGCCAAUUUAGGAAAGUAUGACAAACCCUUUUAUUUUCGUUUUGGAACUAAGUGACCUUAUACCUGCUUAAUAAAAUCUAAUAUUCCAAUCAUCUAAUCACAGUUUGGUGCUUACACUAUUAAAAAUAAACAAAUAUCGGCGAAUACUUUUUCUAUAAAAGGUGCACACUAUCAUAUACCUACUUACUAAGUCGUUUACACAACCCAAACCCUCAUUCUAAGAGAUGGGGUCUCACACACAAAACCUCUCUUUUCUUAUCCUCCUUCUCCUAGGCUUCCUUGCUGUCUCAUUCGCUUGCGAAUGUAGCCCUCCUAAACCAUCACCGAGUCCUCACAAACCGCCUAAACAUCCCGUCAAACCGCCUAAACCACCAGCAGCCAAACCACCAAAACCACCGGCAGUAAAACCUCCUAAACCCCCCACCAAACCUCCCACCCUUAAACCACACCCCCACCCUAAACCUCCCACUAAACCCCCCACCGUUAGACCACACCCACACCCUAAGCCCCCUACCAAACCUCAUCCCAUCCCAAAACCGCCCACCGUUAAACCACCACCCUCCACCCCCAAACCGCCCACAAAACCACCCACCGUUAAACCGCCUCCAUCCACCCCUAAGCCGCCCACCAAACCACCCACCGUCAAACCACCACCCUCCACCCCAAAACCGCCCACCAAGCCACCCACCGUCAAACCACCUCCGUCCACCCCUAAACCACCUACCCACAAGCCACCAAUAGUGUGCCCACCGCCAACACCAACACCAACCCCACCUGUUGUAACGCCACCAACACCACCAACACCAACUCCACCAGUCGUUACGCCACCAACACCAGCUCCACCUGUUGUAACGCCACCAACACCAACACCACCGGUCGUAACGCCACCGACACCAACCCCUCCUGUCGUAACACCACCAACACCACCGGUCGUAACGCCACCGACACCAACCCCUCCUGUCGUAACACCACCAACACCACCGGUCGUAACGCCACCGACACCAACCCCUCCUGUCGUAACACCUCCAACACCACCGGUCGUAACGCCACCGACACCAACCCCUCCUGUCGUAAUACCUCCAACACCACCGGUCGUAACGCCACCGACACCAACCCCUCCUGUCGUAACACCACCAACACCAACUCCACCUAAGCCAGAAACAUGCCCAAUCGACACGUUGAAGCUAGGCGCUUGUGUAGACGUUCUUGGAGGUUUGAUUCACAUCGGGCUUGGUGGAAGUAGCGCCAAGAAAGAGAGUUGUCCGGUUUUGGGAGGCUUAG